rnacentral:rRNA from 1 species
UGAACGCUAGCGACAGGCUAACACAUGCAAGUCGAGGGGUAACAGGGUAGCAAUACCGCUGACGACCGGCGCACGGGUGAGUAACGCGUAUGCAACCUGCCUAGUAACUGGGGAAUAGCUCCCUGAAAGGGGAAUUAACACCGCAUAACACUAUUGAUUCGCAUGGAUUGGUAGUUAAAUGUAGCGAUACAGGUUAUAGAUGGGCAUGCGUGACAUUAGCUAGUUGGUGAGGUAACGGCUCACCAAGGCUACGAUGUCUAGGGGUUCUGAGAGGAAGGUCCCCCCACACUGGUACUGAGACACGGACCAGACUCCUACGGGAGGCAGCAGUGAGGAAUAUUGGUCAAUGGGCGCAAGCCUGAACCAGCCAUGUCGCGUGCAGGAAGAACCUGCCCUAUGGGUUGUAAACUGCUUUUAUAGUAGAAGAAACACAUCUACGUGUAGAUGUCUGCCAGUAUACUAUGAAUAAGCAUCGGCUAACUCCGUGCCAGCCGCCGC